CAGCAGCCGCGGUAAUACGAAGGGUGCAAGCGUUAAUCGGAAUUACUGGGCGUAAAGCGUGCGUAGGCGGUGAGUUAAGUCUGCUGUGAAAUCCCCGGGCUCAACCUGGGAAUGGCAGUGGAUACUGGCUCGCUAGAGUGUGUCAGAGGAUGGUGGAAUUCCCGGUGUAGCGGUGAAAUGCGUAGAGAUCGGAAGGAACAUCAGUGGCGAAGGCGGCCAUCUGGGACAACACUGACGCUGAGGCACGAAAGCGUGGGGAGCAAACAGGAUUAGAUACCCCAGUAGUCCCUGUCUCUUAUAC
rnacentral:rRNA from 1 species